CAUUUUUUUCCUGGAAAACAAUUUUGUAAAUUCCUCGUAAACAGCAAAAUAAACCCUCAAGCAUUAAAGAUUUAUCUACAUAUUUUUGACCCUCUACUUUUGAAAAAAAAGUGAAGAAAAAAAAGGCACACAGCAGUCCAGAAGCCAGUCAAAACAGAAUGUUCCUAACCUGCAAAUUAUUAAAAAAAACUACCAUGAGCACAUAUGAACAAGGACUCUACCUUAGUUUAAGCAGUAAACUAAGGUACUACAGAAUCUUCCUCUGGGUUGCUUUUCUGAACUUCUAAUUUACUGUGAAUAAAAGUCAUAAUCAUAAGGAGACCUCCCCAUAUUUUGUCCAAACAGAUGUUUCUUCAAUUUUCAGAAAUGUUGAGCAACUGUUACUUUAUUUUUUUUCCACUUGAUUUAAUGCAGUGGGUACUUAAGACUGCAAAUCUGAGCAAAGAUAGUCCAUCAGGACCUGCACAAAGAGAUGAAGCCACUUCUGAGAGCCAGCAGCUAACAAUGUUGGCAGUUUUGUGAAAACAUUUUUUAAAGAUGUAUGACAUGGAAUAAUUUAUGAAGAUUUAAGAUAAAUCCAGCAGAAUAAUUGGUUAUGGACAGAGGACAAAAUGAUUACCACUGUAUUUUAUUUCAAAUCGUGCUUUGCAAGUGAUACAUGGCAUUGACACAUUUUUGGGGUCUUGGAGCCCUGCAACCACGGUGAGUUGUUUGUUUUUUAGCUACUAGCAGCUAAUUGCAAAAAAUCCUUAUCUUCACUGCAAAAUCCUAAGUAUGGGGUAUCUUGUUUUUACAGCUGCUUGAGCAGGAGGAAUGGUAGAGCAAUCAACUGGGAAGCCAACUGACCCCUAGAGCUCAUCCUGGCCAGUGGGGAGAAUGGAUAAUAGCUGGUCCUCACUAGGGUGUCCAAUGGACAGAUUGUUGGAAGAGAGGAAUGAAGUUGUGACUGGCAUUAGCAAGCUUUCUUCAGCUUAAAGAUACCAACAAGAUAUCAUACUGAAAUAAUUUCAUGAUUUGCAAAGUUGGUUGGUUAGAAGAACCCAUAAUAGAAAUAGAAUAACAGAAAAAAUUA